ensembl:lncRNA
GCUGGCAGCUGCUCUCAUCAUUAUUUAUCGUCUCUUUGAAAACAUGAGAACUAAAGAAACACUGAAAACACAGAACUACAAAAAUCCCUCCAGUGUAAACAAACCUCACUGACUGACUGGUUUGUUUGUUCCUUUUUAAUCAACGUUUGACAGAAUUAAAACUAACAAACAGCACGAAAACCUGAAACAUGACGAACUGAAGUGUGAAAGAAAUCUCACAGAGACUCUCUCUAAGAUAAAAUCAUGCAGCACGGUGCAGCCGACCUUUCCAGGACCUAAAGUAAUAAAUGAUCCUUGUUAUUAAUGUGAAGAAGGCUGGGAGCUACAUGGAGGAAAGUGCUAUUACUUCUCCAACAGUAAAUCAUCCUGGAAACAGAGCAGAGAUGAGUGUAAAGCUAAAGGAGGAGACCUGGUUAAGAUAGAGAGCAGAGAGGAGCAGCACAGAAAACUCUAACAAGGUAAAGUUAAUCAAAAUUUUAUGUUCUGG